CUAUCCGCCUCUGAAUCUGAA
rnacentral:miRNA from 1 species